rnacentral:tRNA from 1 species
GUAGAAUAUCAGCUUUGGGUGCUGGUGAUGGGGUAGUUACCUCUUCCUUGA